CAUCACCAACUCGCCCAAGUUUUCACGUUCUACAUUUUACGUCGGAAAUAUUGACGGGCCAGGCCGACGGCUCCGAGCCCGAGCUCGGCCCGGCCCGUCAAUAUUUCCGACGUAAAAUGUAGAACGUGAAAACUUGGGCGAGUUGGUGAU
rnacentral:pre_miRNA from 1 species